CUGGAUUAUUGAACGAGUUCCUGUGAACCUCUUACCGGCUACCCAAUUUCAUUUGAAGCUUCUCCGUGUACCGAAACUGCUCUGAAAACGACUACCCUCCUUCUCCACUCCUCGACCUCGGUUUGUUAAACGGACUUCUGCUCCUAAACCUAAGGAACUGCUUAAUUUGAACUCUCCAUUUUCCUGGAAACUGCUUCUUAAGCUAAGUACUUUUUCCUUCAAGCCAAUUUUCUCUCAGUUGCAAAUAAUAAGCUGCCUCAUUGAUAACCAUUCUUGAAGCUAAUUCCACUGCAUUUAAUUCAAUCUAAUUCUGCAUACAUUCUCUGCACUAUCCUUAAUUGGGACUGCUUGGCUUAUGCAAAACUUAUUAUUUUCCUGCAACUAAC